GAUCCAUUAGCUCAGUAGGAUAGAGCGAGUGCCUCCUAAGCACUAGGUCGGACGUUCGAUUCGUCUAUGGAUCG
rnacentral:tRNA from 1 species